ACUAGAAAAGAGAAAGGAUUAUGCAUUUGUCAUCAACAUUUUAAGACAGUAUUUUGUCAGCAAGUUUUCAAAGAAUGAGAUUUACCACAAAGUACUUUUCAGACUUGCUUUGUAAGGAGAUUUUAUUACUUCUGAUUGUUUUAACAACUAAGUUUGAAGCACGUUUUCUCUAGUAAUCAUACUAGAUUACUAGAAAAAAACCCACAAUUCUUUUGUUAGGAGAACAAUUCUACAAGAAAUCAAAACUCUUUCCAUGCAGCUGCUUUUUUCUAAUAUUUUUUGUUCUUAGUGCUCUUAGCAUGUUGUUAACUGUAUUCUAGAGUGAUGAUAUAACUCUUCUAACCAAAAACAAGAAAAAAUUCUCCCAAAUGUAUGCUUCCAAUCUUUCAGGAGAUUUUUUAAUUAAAAGAAAACUCUGAAAUAAAUAAAACUAUCUUUAAGAUUCUGUAUUUAACUUCCUCACAUCAACAGAAAUAAAAUAUGUUCUCUAUCCCUACAACUGUAAUGCUAAACCUUUCUAGUUGCUCUGUUGUCCCUGCCAAGGUAUGAAUCUAUCACUGAGCUUCUCCACUGGAAAGUCCCCGUGAACUGAUUUUUUUUCAGGAAGCAGCUCAGGAACAUGAUGAAAGAAAGAAGCACAAGUUGUUUUGGGAGAGGUAGGACUCCUUGUUUGUGGUCCUACCAAAGUGUGUGUGUAGCAAAGAAGUCUGAUCAACAUCCAGGUAUGUCAAAUGCUGGAUGAACUUCCUUAGCAAUAGCACAGAACUGACGAACUAUACAUGAUAUAUCCAAGAAUAACCAUAAGUGUUAAACACUGUGUUCUAUUUAUUUUGACACUUAACAGGGCUCCUUUCAGGUAUUAUAUAAGUCACAUCAUUUUCAUGGUGUGGUAGCCUGCCCUUUUGAUCUGGGGGAGACAAGAAACUGAAGUCCUAGAUGUAAGGUGUCAGACCUGCCCAACAUCAGGCUGUGCUGCCUUUUCUGAAAAUUCGUUUCAGCUGUGUGGCUGUAGAGAAGGAGCAUGAAAAGCUUAAGCAUGUUCCCAAGGAGCUGCUGACACCCUUUUGGAAAAUGCAUACUUACUGCUAUGGACCGUGUGAAUCCAAUUACACCAUGCUUUGUAGCACAGUACACAGGCUGGAAUGCAGCAGGCAUGAGUCCUUUAAAAUAAAAAGUUAGCUGAAUGAAGAUGUCAAAUAUUCCUAAUUUAUGAUCACCUUAAACACACAUAUAGGUCUAUAGUGUAAAAAAAUUUCUGACAGAGGUGCAACAAAAUGGAUUAGUAAAGUUUGUAAAUUAUAUUUUGUAAUCUGGGAUAGGCUAGGAAAAAAAAUUAGAUGGAUAAAAAUGUGCAGGCAAAAGAAGAGUAAUAAAAAAAGUAUAACUUUUAAAAGGAAAAGUUGUAUCUAUGAAGUAUGACUUAAAAGAGAGGACACAAUCUGGAAGAAAACACUCAAGAAUGAGACUUUUGAGGCAUCUUCUAGGAAUCAGUAAAGUAUUUAAAGUAUAUUGAGGAGCAAAGUAUUUUAGAUAGGCUUUGAUUUCUGACGUGUGAACUGGACACCUGCAAUCAUUUACAGUGUGUUCAGGGGGGAAGUGUGGGAAUAGGAGAAGCAAAAUAAAAAUUUUCUGCUAACACUGUAAACCUUUAUGGUCUGAGUGGGAGAGCACAAAAUUGUUAUUUUUAGCAGAGAAAGAAGAGAGAACAGAGGUUUUGGAAGAAAACUAAGAACUUAAUUCUGGUAAGACUGAGUUGAUGGCAAAAAGCUAGUCAAGAAUAAGUGACAGACCAUGAAUGCAUAUUCAUUUCUGCCAAUUAUGCCAAAAAUUUCUACUAUAAAAUGAAAGCUGAACUGGACCACAUGGAUGCUGUAAUUCCACCUGAAAAUAAAGCCCUUAUGAAUAGCAAACUUCAGCCUGUCCAAAAGUUAGAGGAUAAAAUGUUUUCCUGGAUGUGCUAGUGUAAAACUCUAUAGUAAAUUUAAUGCCUUAAUGUUUGGUUCUAAUGGAACUCAUCCCAAUAAACAACUCACAUAUAUUUUUUUCAUUUUUCAUACUUCAAAUCUUAAAGUGAUACGUUGAAGAAGGGGUGUGAUUUGUCUCAUUGGAGAUGAAAAAUUCACUACCUAGCUCUAAGUAUGGAUUUGCCAGAAAAAUUAUAUAUGCCAGACUUACAUGGGCUCUUUGCUCUGGAAUCUAUUUUGUCUGAGGGAAAAAACUUUUCCAAGACAGCACAAAGCUCUAAUUACCAACCUGACAGCUUCAAGGUUUUAUCUUGGUUUAAAUGCUACCUUGGUGAUCCUGUGAAAGAGCACUGCUCAAUACUGGGAAAUGAAGAGCUUAACCUAUUUUCUGGUUGUUCUUUUAAAAUUGUAUUUAUUUGCUUAGCUUGGAUUAAUGUGUUAUGCUUCUGCUUAGGAGCUCACUUUAUGAAAUGGCUUUUGUACCGUCUCCUGUGAGUUGUGAUCACAACACAGGCUUAAUAUUCCUCUGUUUGUUGACUUUUGAUGAUCACCAUUCUUCAAAUUAUUGGAAACAUUGGAAUAUUGGCACAUUAGAAAUAAUACAUUACUAUUUUAAAAAAAACGCUUGUACUCUUAAAUGAUUUAAAUAAAGGAAAUUCUAUUCAGGCUGAAGCUAACAGAAAUAAAACAGACAACAUCUACUGGGAAACACAGAGGAAGAAUUUAGAGGUAAUUUUAUUUUUACUUUUUAACCAUAGUAAGAAAAAUUACAUUCUGCUUGAGAGGGAAGAGAAACAAAGUCAAGAAGUAAACAAAGGAAGGGCACAGCUCACAGUAAUGAAGUAGAAUAAGGUUCAAAGACUUACUUAAA